GCCAAUGCUUCUUAUUUUCUUCUGUCCAUCUGUUAGAAAAACCUAGUAAAAUUAUAUUACGUAUUCAGAUCCUCAUGCAAUUAAACUAUAAUAAGUCGACAACUUCAAUAUUUUGAAACCAAAGAUGCUUUUGGCUAAACAAAUUAGUUUCACUUAGCAAGUCAAUAUGCGCGCACACCGGAAAACUCUAAUGCUAUGACUCUUCAUUUUGUCAUGCUGUACCCGUGUCAACCUGACACUACAAGGGGCACGACAUGAA
rnacentral:misc_RNA from 1 species